rnacentral:rRNA from 1 species
CCUAGGGGGGGCAGCAGUGGGGAAUAUUGCGCAAUGGGCGAAAGCCUGACGCCGCGACGCCGCGUGAGGGCUGAAGGUCUUCGGAUCGUAAACCUCUGUCAGCAGGGAAGAACGGUCACUGUGCUAAUCAGCAGUGAAUUGACGGUACCUGCACAGGAAGCACCGGCUAACUCCGUGCCAGCCGCCGCGGUAAUCCGGAGGGUGCGAGCGUUAAUCGGAAGUACUGGGCGUAAAGCGCUCGUAGGCGGUAUGUCAAGUAAAGGGUGAAAUCCCCGCGCUCAACGGGGGAACGGCCUUUGAAACUGGCAAACUGGAGUGUGUGAGAGGAUAGUGGAAUUCCAGGUGUAGGAGUGAAAUCCGUAGAUAUCUGGAGGAACAUCAGUGGCGAAGGCGACUAUCUGGCACAUAACUGACGCUGAGGAGCGAAAGCGUGGGUAGCAAACAGGAUUAGAUACCCGGGGAGUC